rnacentral:miRNA from 14 species
ACACCUUUUUCUGGAGACUACAUAAGGACACUGGAAGAAGGAAAAUCUCCUCUUUUCUUUGCCUAUCUGCCUUGUGGGACUGAGUAACUGCUAGAUCCUUGGACUUCCAUUCACAGCUG